CCCUGGUGGCUCAGGUUAAAAAGCGUCUGCCUGGGAUGCGGGAGACCCGGGUUCGAUUCCUGGAUCAGGAA
rnacentral:tRNA from 1 species